UCCCAAAGGGUAUAGAAUGACAGAAACCGGAAGGGAUGGAGGUAACCAGCCACCUCAUUUGACACAGGAAGAAGGGGAAGUGGGUUCCAUCAAAGUUGCUCAGGGGUAAACUCUCAGGGCAGGACCUGACUCCUCAGAAGAAUCUUUUAAAUCUCUUUACAGAAGUGCUCAUGUCAAGGUCAUGCUGGAGAAGAAGCUGAGGAGUAAUUACUAGCCAACCACAGCUGGAAGCCUAGAAGAUAGAGCAAUCAGCACCCUGCGUCAAUGGCUGUGCUUCAGACCAAGAGGCAACCAAGCCACUUCUUCCCAUAUGACCUGGAGUGCCUGUGUAUGGUUUUGAGGGAAGAGGGCAGACGGAACUAUGAACUUGGUGUCCAUGUCACCUGGGAAAAGAAGCAAGCUCUUGUAUAAGAUGACCGUGGGUCAGGAGAGUGUGCACUGUGAGUUUAUGGGCCUCUGGAUCUGCAUCAUCACAACAAAGGAAGAACGGAGGAGGCAUGGGAGAAGGGGGUCAAGACACAUUUCUUAAACUUUUGGCCAGGAAACAUACAUGCCAUUGACUAGAAUUCAGUCACAUGGCCGCAACAAACUGCAGAGAGUGCUGGGAAAUGUAGUCAUGCUAUGGUCUGCAAGAAGAGCCAUCUAGAGGAGGGGCGGUUCUAGAGACCAGGAUGGAAAUCUUGGGGCUACCGUGGAGGAAUACCUUACAGGGCGUACUUGUGAACAUAGUUGUUAUUUCUUCAAAAGGGAAGUGAUUUCUCCAUAAAGGGGCCUUUCUCUGGAUGGCUUGUGCUGACAGAAUACAGACUAGGAAG